rnacentral:misc_RNA from 1 species
CUAAAAUAAAAUAAUAUUAAAACAUUUAAAGUUUUAACAAUUAAUAUCCAAAGCUUUUAACUUAAUUGCUUGGGGGGCUAAAAGCCUAUGUAAAACUUACUAAAAGCAAAGAUUACAACCCUAAAUAACAAGAAAAAAAAUACAGACAUCCACAAGUAAAAAAUAAUUAAUUUAUGUAUAAAUUCAUCCUUAUUAUAUCAUCUUAUCUCGCUAUUGACCCGCCGGCUGCUCAAUCAAAAUUACCCAGCAUCAGCCAUCACUUCAGUAACCUAAUAGCUUACUUAAAACUUAAUAUUGCAUAAACCAAACUGUUUAGAGCACUUCAUUCAAUUCUCAUUCCUACUAAACCAGGGAAGAAAUUGGUGUAACCUGAUUUUCAUGAGAUUGUGAAUGAGGCAAUCCGCUAUGAUGACUUUCUUUUCUUUCGUGAUUUCGGCUUUUUCUUUUUCAUAGAUUUCUUCUUUUCAGGACUUUCUUCAUUUAUCAAGUGCUCAUAAUCUUC